rnacentral:rRNA from 1 species
UACACACCGCCCGUCACGUCACGAAAGUCGGUAACACCCGAAGCCAGUGGCCCAACUCGCAGAGAGGGAGCUGUCGAAGGUGGGAUCGGCGAUUGGGACG